rnacentral:rRNA from 1 species
GACAGAGGUGCCGAGCGUUAGGCGGAAUCACUGGGCUUAAGGCGUGUGUAGGCGGAGUUCUAAGUACCUUGUGAAAUCCCACGGCUUAACCGUGGAACUGCUUGGUAUACUGGUUCUCUUGGGCCAUCUAGGGGCUACUGGAACAAACGGUGGAGCGGUGAAAUGCGUAGAUAUCGUUUGGAACGCCAAUGGUGAAAACAAGUAGCUGGGGAUGUGCCGACGCUGAGACACGAAAGCCAGGGGAGCGAACGGG